rnacentral:misc_RNA from 1 species
GGAACCCGCCCUGCCCUAGAGAGGCUCUGUGAGUGGAAGGAUGCUAGAACAGAUGACUUUAAGAAGCCUUUCCCUGAGCCAAAAGUAGAGGAGCCCCCUGCACCAUCAGCACCCAAAGAGGAAGCUGAAAAGCCUGCCUCUGAAAAAGCGGAGUCAAGCAAGGGAGAGGAAGCAAGCUAAAGGGAGAUCAUUUAGAAUUUUGAAAGUGAAGUAAAAUUUCAGAAAUGAACCAAAAACUUAAGAUCAAUGUGGUUCAAUGUACCCUAUGUGGGGGGAAAAAGAUCCUGUGAUAUUUUAUUCUUGUUGAUACAUAUAUAUAAUGCUUAGUGCAUUCAUACUUAAUUCCUGUGUAAGAACAUGAUUAUGAUAUGUGCUAGUACACAUGUACAUAUAUGGUAUGAAUCAGAAAUGUCAUGUGACUGAUAUGGGAGUGCCUUAUGUGCUAUAUAUUGAACUUGAUUUGGUACAGGCACAAUCUGUAUUGCAUUCUGUUCUGUAAAUGUCAUUCUAUCUACAUCAUGUUGAUUGUACAUUUUUUGUUUUUUGUAAAAUGUAAAAUGUCAUUGAAUAAAUUCACUUACAUAAA